UCACAAUCCAAAGCAUUUGACUA
rnacentral:siRNA from 1 species